rnacentral:rRNA from 1 species
AAGAGACAGCAGUCGCCACGGGAAUACGGAGGGUGCAAGCGUUAAUCGGAAUUACUGGGCGUAAAGCGCACGCAGGCGGUUUGUUAAGUCAGAUGUGAAAUCCCCGAGCUUAACUUGGGAACUGCAUUUGAAACUGGCAAGCUAGAGUCUUGUAGAGGGGGGUAGAAUUCCAGGUGUAGCGGUGAAAUGCGUAGAGAUCUGGAGGAAUACCGGUGGCGAAGGCGGCCAUCUGGGACAACACUGACGCUGAGGCACGAAAGCGUGGGGAGCAAACAGGAUUAGAUACCCGAGUAGUCCCUGUCUCUUAUAA